AUUGAACGCUGGCGGCAGGCCUAACACAUGCAAGUCGAGCGAGCGGCGGACGGGUGAGUAAUGUCUGGGGAACUGCCCGAUGGAGGGGGAUAACUACUGGAAAUGGUAGCUAAUACCGCAUACCAUCGGAUGUGCCCAUAUGGGAUUAGCUAGUAGGUGGGGUAACGGCUCACCUAGGCGACGAUCCCUAGCUGGUCUGAGAGGAUGACCAGCCACACUGGAACUGAGACACGGUCCAGACUCCUACGGGAGGCAGCAGUGGGGAAUAUUGCACAAUGGGCGCAAGCCUGAUGCAGCCAUGCCGCGUGUAUGAAGAAGGCCUUCGGGUUGUAAAGUACUUUCAGCGGGGAGGCGUUACUCGCAGAAGAAGCACCGGCUAACUCCGUGCCAGCAGCCGCGGUAAUAC
rnacentral:rRNA from 1 species